GUGCCUAGGGGUGAAAGGCCAAUCAAACUCGGAGAUAGCUGGUUCUCCGCGAAAUCUAUUUAGGUAGAGCGUCAUCCGAAUACCCCGGGGGGUAGAGCACUGGAUGGGUAAUGGGGCCCCACAGGCUUACUGAUCCUAACCAAACUCCGAAUACCCGGGAGUACUAGAUGGCAGACACACGGCGGAUGCUAACGUCCGUCGUGAAGAGGGAAACAACCCUGACCGACAGUUAAGGCCCCCAAUUCAUGGCUAAGUGGGAAAGCAGGUGGGACGACCAAAACAACCAGGAGGUUGGCUUAGAAGCAGCCACCCUUUAAAGAAAGCGUAAUAGCUCACUGGUCCAGCGAACCUGCGCCGAAAAUGUAACGGGUCUAAGCAUGACACCGAAGCCACGGAUCUCGUAAGAGAUGGUAGGAGAGUAUUCCAACGGCGAUGAAGGUCAACCGAAAGGAUGGCUGGAGCUUUUGGAAGAGCUUAUGCAGGCAUGAGUAGCGAUAAAACGGGCGAGAAACCCGUUCGCCGUAAGCCUAAGGUUUCCUAGGCCAGGUUAAUCCUCCUAGGGUGAGUCGGACCCUAAGCCGAGGCCGAAAGGCGUAGGCGAUGGAAAACAGGCAAAUAUUCCUGUACCAGCUCUAC
rnacentral:rRNA from 1 species